GGAAGGGGUCCACAAGAAAGAUAUAUUGGCUAUUUGGAUUCUCAUCAGACAACUUGCCCCUCUGUACAUCCUUUUCUUUUUCCUGGCAGAAUGAGGUGAAGACUAGAAAAGGGAAAAUUGUCUUUGUUGAAGAGGACCUUUGAAAGCCCUGAAAGAUGUCACUGGCCAUGAUCUAAAGCACUUUCCCAACAGAAGACACCAUGGAUUAAAAUGAGCAAGAAAGGAGGGAGAAGGUUAGAGAACAUGUUUUCCAUGCAAAAGCCUGCAGGACGGGGGGAGGAGCCAAGAUGGCCGAAUAGGAACAGCUCCGGUCUACAGCUCCCAGCGUGAGCGACGCA
rnacentral:lncRNA from 1 species